UACGGAGGGUGCAAGCGUUAAUCGGAUUUAUUGGGCGUAAAGGGCGCGUAGGCGGAUCAGAAAGUAGGAUGUGAAAUUCCGGGGCUCAACCCCGGACCCGCAUUCUAAACUACUAGUCUAGAGGAUGGACGGAGAAAAGGGAAUUCCACGUGUAGCGGUGAAAUGCGUAGAUAUGUGGAAGAACACCAGUGGCGAAGGCGCUUUUCUAGUUUAUUCCUGACGCUGAGGCGCGAAAGCAAGGGUAGCAAACAGG
rnacentral:misc_RNA from 1 species